rnacentral:rRNA from 1 species
GGUAAACGCUGGCGAUGUGCCUAAUACAUGCAAGUCGAACGCGAAAGUCCUUCGGGAUGAGUAAAGUGGCGCACGGGUGGGUAAUACAUGGGAACAUGCCCUUGGAUGGGGAAUAACGUUUGGAAACGAACGCUAAUACCGCAUAAUCUCGCGAGAGUAAAGGUGGCGCCGCAAGGGCUACCGUCCAAGGAUUGGCCCAUGUCCCAUUAGCUAGUUGGCGGGGUAAUGGCCCACCAAGGCAACGAUGGGUAACUGGUCUGAGAGGAUGAUCAGUCACACUGGAACUGAGACACGGUCCAGACUCCUACGGGAGGCAGCAGUAGGGAAUAUUGCACAAUGGGGGAAACCCUGAUGCAGCAACGCCGCGUGAGUGAAGAAGGCCCUUGGGUUGUAAAGCUCUUUAGCGUGGGAAGAAGGUAGAUAUGGUGAAUAAUCAUGUUUGCUGACGGUACCACGAGAAUAAGCACCGGCUAAUUUCGUGCCAGCAGCCGCGGUAA